UACGUAGGGUGCGAGCGUUAAUCGGAUUUACUGGGCGUAAAGCGUGCGCAGGCGGCCCGUUAAGACAGGUGUGAAAUCCCUGGGCUCAACCUAGGAAUUGCGCUUGUGACUGGCGGGCUCGAGUACGGUAGAGGGGGGUGGAAUUCCUGGUGUAGCAGUGAAAUGCGUAGAGAUCAGGAGGAACACCGAUGGCGAAGGCAGCCCCCUGGGUUGACACUGACGCUCAUGCACGAAAGCGUGGGGAGCAAACAGG
rnacentral:rRNA from 1 species